CAUAGUGAUAAGGUAUCAAAUAAUUGUUUAUGCUGAAAAUAAAGUACGAAAAUAAAAUAAAGCAAAAAAUAAACUUAAAUCUAAAAACAUAAUAAAAUAGUAAAAUAAGUAAAAUAAACUAAAGUUUAUGCUGAAAAUAAAGUACGAAAAUAAAAUAAAGCAAAAAAUAAACUUAAAUCUAAAAACAUAAUAAAAUAGUAAAAUAAGUAAAAUAAACUAAGGAAAUGCCUAAGUACAAUUAU
rnacentral:lncRNA from 1 species